GAUAGUUGGUGAGGUAACGGCUCACCAAGUAUACGAUCUUUAGGGGGCAGGAGAGGGUGAUCCCCCACACUGGUACUGAGACCCGGACCAGACUCGUACGGGACGCAGCAGUGAGGAAUAUUGGACAAUGGGUCAGAACCUGAUCCAGCCAUCCCGCGUGAAGGACGACGGCCCUAUGGGUUGUAAACUUCUUGGGUAUAGGGAUAAACGUAUUAUCGUGAGAGUAGUUGAAGUUACUAUCAGAAUAAGCACCGGCUAACUCCGUGCCAGCAGCCGCGGUAAUACGGAGGGUGCAAGCGUUAUUCGGAAUUAUUGGGUUUAAAGGGUCCGUAGGCGGUUUGGUAAGUCAGAGGUGAAAUCUCACAGCUCAACUGGGAAACUGCCAUYGAUACUGCCGGUCUUGAGUGUUGUAGAAGUAGGUGGAAUAACUAGUGUAGCGGUGAAAUGCAUAGAUAUUAGGAGGAACACCAAUUGCGAAG
rnacentral:rRNA from 1 species